GACAGAGGGUUGCAAACGUUGUUCGGAAUUACUGGGCGUAAGCGCGUGUAGGCGGCUAAGUAAGUCGGGCGUGAAAUCCCACGGCUCAACCGUGGAAGUGCACUCGAAACUGCAUAGCUAGAGUCCUGGAGAGGAAGGUGGAAUGCUUGGUGUAGAGGUGAAAUUCGUAGAUAUCAAGCGGAACACCGGUGGCGAAGGCGCCUUCUGGACAGUGACUGACGCUGAGACGCGAAGCGUGGGAGCAAACAGGA
rnacentral:rRNA from 1 species